rnacentral:rRNA from 1 species
GUAGGGAAUAUUGCGCAAUGGGGGAAACCCUGACGCAGCGACGCCGCGUGAGUGAUGAAGGCCUUCGGGUCGUAAAGCUCUGUUGCAGGGGAAUAAAAAAAUGAAGGUACCCUGUGAGGAAGGAUCGGCUAACUUCGUGCCAGCAGCCGCGGUAAGACGAGGGAUCCUAGCGUUGCUCGGAAUCAUUGGGCGUAAAGAGGGCGUAGGUGGCUUGGUAAGUCAGGUGUGAAAGUCCAGGGCUCAACCCUGGAAGUGCAUUUGAUACUGCUGAGCUUGAGUGUCGGAGAGGUUACCGGAAUACCUGGUGUAGUGGUGAAAUACGUAGAUAUCAGGUGGAACACCGGAGGCGAAGGCGGGUAACUGGACGAACACUGACACUGAGGCCCGAAAGCGUGGGGAUCAAACAGGAUUAGAUACCCGUGUAGUCC